rnacentral:lncRNA from 1 species
GUUUGUAGUAAGGAAAUCAAGGUGAUUUGGACUCUUCUGGAAACUUCGGAAGUUGAGGGACCUCAAGCUUCGGAAGACUUGGCAACUUUGAGACAUCUGGAAUCUCAGGCUUAGGGAAUUCUGGAAUCUCCGGUUUUGGCAAUUCAGGAAUCUCGGGCUUAGGGAAUUCUGGAAUCUCGAGUUUAGGCAAUUCAGGAAUCUCGGGCUUGGGCAAUUCGGGCAUAGGGAGAGUUGGAAUUUCAAGCUUUGGCAAAGCUGGCAACUCGAGGAGGCGGCGGGCCUCGGUCGCGUAAGCCAUCGCGACGACGAAAAACAAGAAGAG